UACGAAGGGGGCUAGCGUUGCUCGGAAUUACUGGGCGUAAAGCGCACGUAGGCGGCUCUUUAAGUCGGGGGUGAAAUCCUGGAGCUCAACUCCAGAACUGCCUUCGAUACUGUAGAGCUUGAGCUCGGGAGAGGUGAGUGGAACUGCGAGUGUAGAGGUGAAAUUCGUAGAUAUUCGCAAGAACACCAGUGGCGAAGGCGGCUCACUGGCCCGAUACUGACGCUGCGGUGCGAAAGCGUGGGGAGCAAACAGG
rnacentral:rRNA from 1 species